UACGAAGGGGGCUAGCGUUGCUCGGAAUCACUGGGCGUAAAGCGCACGUAGGCGGGUCGUUAAGUCGGGGGUGAAAUCCUGGAGCUCAACUCCAGAACUGCCUUCGAUACUGGCGAUCUUGAGUCUGGGAGAGGUGAGUGGAACUCCGAGUGUAGAGGUGAAAUUCGUAGAUAUCCGGAGGAACACCAGUGGCGAAAGCGGCCACCUGGACUGUACCUGACGCUCAAACGCGAAAGCUAGGGGAGCGAACGGG
rnacentral:rRNA from 1 species